GACGAACGCUGGCGGCGUGCCUAAUACAUGCAAGUUGAGCGCUGAAGGUUGGUACUUGUACCGACUGGAUGAGCAGCGAACGGGUGAGUAACGCGUGGGGAAUCUGCCUUUGAGCGGGGGACAACAUUUGGAAACGAAUGCUAAUACCGCAUAAAAACUUUAAACACAAGUUUUAAGUUUGAAAGAUGCAAUUGCAUCACUCAAAGAUGAUCCCGCGUUGUAUUAGCUAGUUGGUGAGGUAAAGGCUCACCAAGGCGAUGAUACAUAGCCGACCUGAGAGGGUGAUCGGCCACAUUGGGACUGAGACACGGCCCAAACUCCUACGGGAGGCAGCAGUAGGGAAUCUUCGGCAAUGGACGAAAGUCUGACCGAGCAACGCCGCGUGAGUGAAGAAGGUUUUCGGAUCGCAAAACUCUGUUGGUAGAGAAGAACGUUGGUGAGAGUGGAAAGCUCAUCAAGUGACGGUAACUACCCAGAAAGGGACGGCUAACUACGUG
rnacentral:rRNA from 1 species